GAUAGUGGGAGCGAGUACGAGGCUCGGAGAAGUUGUGGAAUUAGUUCGAACGAUUAAUUUUCGAAAAAACGAACGUUAUUUAGGGGCUCGCGAAAGUUGACUUUUUAUACGUUCAAAAUUUGGGAAAACUUUCUUCAUGAAAGUUGUAGAGCUCGUCGAUACGAUCGCGUGCAUAUGCGGAACGCAAAAAUCGGAGUUCGUAUGAAUUAGUUAUGAUUUUUUGAAAAAGUUUCUAAUUUAGUAUAAAGCUUCCAUUUUUGGAAAUUUCCAAAAAUAAAAACAGAUUUUUCCAAAAUUGGAAAAUCGGCUGCGAUUUUAGUUCCCCGCCGGAAAUCGCCUCCAAAACUUCGAUCGACGAUUUCUUCCUCCUCCGGCCACCGAUCCUCACCAAACUUCUUCCAUUGGCUUCGUAUGGUCCUUGCGCACCUGUCUGUGGCAGCCUUUCACGGCGGCGCGGCCUGUAGCGGCGGCGGCAAGCCCGGUCCGAUUUAAGCUCGAUUUUGGUCAACGCCGGUUUUCUCCUAGCUCCGGCCACCAAAACUUCCGAUCCUUGGCUCCAUGAACUCCCCUCAACCUGCUGAUCAUCAUACUAGGAGGAUUGCACCUAGAGUGACCGGUUUCACGUUCGUCGGAGCUCGGUAAGUUUUCAAUCCGAAACGAAAAUCUUUCGAUCGGUAUAUCUCGAGCUGUAGUGCAUCGUUUUGAUUGAUUCUUUUUCCAGUGGGUUCCCCUUGAUGUUAUUAACAACUCUCUAGAAGGCAUCGAGGCCUGAAAUUGAAGCUUUGACGUCGAAAUCGAGCCUUGCCGGAUUCUGCAAAAUUUUGGAAUUUUUCCGACCACAGAAGCUUUCGAUCGGUAUAUCUCGAGCUACAGACCAUAUUUUUCUGUGAUUCUUGAACCAGUGAGUUCUUCUUGAGUUUCUUAACAACUCUUCAGAAGGAAUCGAAGCCUUAAAUUGACGUUUUUACGUCGAAUUGGAGCUCGCCGUUUUCUGCAGUUUCUCGCCGGUUUCUGGAAAAUUCCGGCCACCUUCAUACUGUUCAAGGUGAUUGACGGUUUGAGUUAGUGGACGAUUAUGGAUCGUAUUUUGAGCGGAAUUGAAGACGCAGCGGGAUUAUCGAGCGGGUAAUCCUACAGGACAGGAGAACCAGGACGGUGAUCGUGCGGUUAGAGCAAUUGUUAGAGUUUUACAGCAAUUGUACGUUGUGAGGUGUGUUAUGCUCAUUUGAGCUUUACAAUAUUGCUUGUGAGAGUGAAUUGUAAUAAUGAACUCGAAGUUUCGAGAUUUGGAUUUUGUAAUUGUAAUUAUUCAUGUUUCGGAUUUGAAUUUAUUAUUCAAAAUUCGGGGCGUGACAGUUUGGUAUCAGAGCGUAAGGUGCAUAUUUGGUGAUGUGUCAAUACCUUCCGAGUGAUGGCCCGGCUGCAGCGGAUCCCCAUCGUGUGCUCUUCGGUAUUGGCUAAGUCAUUGGGUAUGCGUGAGUGUUGGGAGUUGUUUAGGCCGCUAGGUCGUUUUAGGAACGUGAAUACCUUCCCUAUAGUAUUGACUUGGUUAAUAUGAAUUUGUAUUUGACUUAUACUGUGUUUUAAGUGUUAUACAAGUAUUAGCCAAGCAUACUAUACUCCUUAGGUGAUGGAUAUUCGAAGGGGUUGUACUUAGAACCUUACAGUUGUCUUGUAGGUUCGUAUGGGAAUAAGUUCAGUGGCCGCGAGUUACAAUCCUUGAGGAAUAGGAACCUCUUGAUUCAACUCUGUUAAGUCAACGAGGAUUGUUUUAUGGAAAUGA